CAGAACGCGAUUUUGUCCCUGAGGUAAACAAGCGAAAUAUCGGUGAUCAAAUCCCUUGACGAAAUUGUGAUGAACGAAUCGUAGUUCGGGACGAAACAUGGUCGUUGAAAGGGUUUCCCGAUGACCAGCCGCUCCCACCUCGUAUCAGGAAGCGUCAGAUUGCGGUGACCAAACUUAGAGAAUCGGUUCCUACUGCUUCGAUAUCGGCGUCCGUUUGUGUAGGACUCUGUCCAGGUCUUCGAGGAACUCCACUUUUUACACUCACAUUCUGCGAUAGGAUCGACGAUAACGUGGGAUUUUAAAGACGCUUUAUGACUGACGAGUAUUUAGUACAUUUGUCCCUCGCACAAAACAGCGAAAGUAAAAUUGUUCGAGAAUAAUCGAGCCCGACAUCUAGACGACAUCGAAGGGCAACAAAACAUGGAGGAUCUUCGAACGCCUUAAUUCGAUGCUCUGCGAAAUGGAUGCGCCAAGAUCGAAGCACAAAACGAUUCGAAAACGUCAUAGGACUCGUCGUAUCUUUCCGUGUCUAAAACAGAGAGAGAGUGAGAAAGUGGCGAACAGAUUGACAGCUCUUCUCCCCACGCUGCGAGAGCUUAACGCAGAAAUUGCUCCUGCCCAAUUAGGAAAUUACGGAGAGGGAGAAAGAGAGGGACUGAAUGAGCGAAGUGAGUCAGUAUGAUGAGAUUCGGUUGUAAGUUGUCGGAUAAAUGUAGAGGGGAAGAGAAACAGAGUGGAGCAAAAGCAUCGUUGACAAAUCGCGAGCAACAAAAUACAGUAACUGGUACAUAGAGAUACUAUAAUCGUGACGUGAACUGAAUUAGCAGCACGCAUGUCCCU